GAGCUGAGGUCUGAGACGUCAAAUCGGGUUAGGCCUGAGUAAAUAAUGAUACGUUUACUUGAUCUUUGAUUGGGCCCCAACCGUAAUUUUUGAAAUUAACAACAUUAAACCUCAACCGCCCUCAUGUUCAUAAGUUCAUUUACUCUCUUGUCCCGCCAAAAGCCGAUACUCUAAAUCACUGUCUCCCUCCAUACGCGCCACCUUUCCCCCUCCCCCUCCGCCUCAAAACUCCGAGAUCAUUUACUCCUUUCUGCCACCACCACCAUCCCUUUCUCCAAACACCAAGAAAACUGAUCCCUAAACCGAACAAAAAAGCAAAACCCGAAGACCGACCCCCUUCGUCGCUUGAUGAGAUAAAGCCGAUACAUUCUGACUUGCUUUCGAUUUUCAGUCCGGUUACAGAGAGAGCAUCUAGACGGUGAGGCCUAUUGGGCUGAGAGUACCAAAGUACUCACCGUUCGGACUAGGUCUGUGGACCCGAAGGUGAAAUCCGUGGAGGGCUUGGAGGACCCGAAAUUAGAGGAGAAGAGGAGGCUCUUGGGGGAGCCGAUUCAGGGAUGCCUCUUACUGAGGCUGAGAGGAAGUUUCUGGAGAAAUGUCAGAGAAAUAGAAUUAAAAGGCAAAUAAAUUUAGUUGAAAAGGAGCAGAUUGUGGUGUGGAGAGGAAAAAACUAUAAUCCUUCCAGAGAAUGGACUUUCCAUCACUGACUGAAUAUUUUUUGAUGACCCAAGCUUGGGACGUGGAGAGGUGUUAUAGCUCCGAUGAGAGUAGUGAUCAAUAGGUCUGCUUCUGUGUUUUAUGUUCACUGCAUAGGUGAAGUAAUUAUAUGCCUUCUCACUUCUCUUGGAAAAGGGAAAAAGUUGGGAACUGUAUAUGAAGAUAUCUCCCUGUUUAUGAUAUGAGAUCUGGAAUACCUAAUGCCAUCAACCAAGAUUGCAUCUUGGUCUUUCAUUUUGUCAUAA